AACAUUUCGAAACGUGCGUUUUGCGUUGGUUCUGGUCGCGAAAGGAGUAAUAUGCCAACUUGGCAUUGAAUGCCUUUAAAAUUAUGUAAAAUUUGGUGACUACAGAACAAAAUCGGUAUUUGAAGAUGGAUGAUUUACGGCAGAGAUUGAAAUUUGACGACAUUGCUGUUCGAUCUAGAUGUGUGCAGAAAUUAAUAACUGCUGUUAAGAAAAAGAGAAGAGGGGAAAUGAUAACAUCAUCGACUCCUCCGAUACAGGAAUUGAACUUAAUCUGGGAGGCAUGUGGUGAUGAAUCCACAGAAACAUCAAAUCUUGCAAUUCAAGGAAUAGUUGCUUUGGUUACUAAUCGGCAUCUUGAUGUCAAAUAUGCCAUGAACAAGUUUCUAAGUAUUAUUACUCCUACAUGCAAUGCAUAUGUACUUGUAAAAGCAAUUUCUGCAAUUAUGAUGUUUGAAUACAACCAGACCAGUGAAACUAACAGAGUGUUCCAUUAUUCCCUUCACUGCCCAAAGCAUCCUUUAAUUACUGUUUUGCAAACUAAUGAUGAUUAUUUGCCCCUUAUUCUUGAAAGUAUUUCAGAAGCUAUUGAUGAAGAUAAUUUUAGAGGCUUUCAAGUAAUGGAACCUGUUAUUUGCUAUAUUUUAUCCAACCCUACUCAACGAAAGAGAAUUGAUUAUUCUAAAGUUUUAUUAUUAGAAACACUUAUUGAUAUAGUAUCAUCUCAGCCUAGAACAACAUUUUACAUGCUGCGAUUUAUUCCAUUUUUACAGGUUGAAACCUCACAUCAAGUGAUUGAAGCUUCCCAAUUUGUUGUUAAAGCAAAGAGAGUUUUCAGUGAAUUUGAGUGUGAUGAAAAAGAUCGAAUUUAUGUUUCAGAAUUCAUAUUAGUUGCAUCAUUAUCUCUUUGUGAAAGAAAUUUAGCCUUCGGAAAUAACUUCAGCAGUUUACUCAAAAUAUCCCUCAGUUUGCUACAGACUUUAUCUAAGUUUGACUACUAUUCAUCAUGUGUUAAUGUGUGUUUAACUUUAAUUGGAAUGAUAUUAAAAGCAACAUCUGGUGUAGUUCUUGAAAAAUUCAUUGCAAUAGGUAUGGCUUUGCUGGAUCUGAAACCUGUUUCUCCUACAGUUGCAGCAUAUGUGGCAUUUUCUGUAAUCCAGCUAUUACCUGAACCUUCAAUUCUUUCUUUUGAUGAAACUAUGAAAUCCACUCUCUCUCAACUGCUUGGAAAAUUAGAAUUGUUUUUCACGUGCGAUCUAAAUAAUGUGGACCGAAGCACAGAUAAUGAUGAAUCAUCACCAAAAAAUAAAUCUGAUUUUUGUGAUGGUGACUCUUUGUCCAAAACCAGUACAAGUGAUAAUUUCAAUUAUCUUGAAGCUCUAACACCAUCUGUUGAGUCAUGUUUUGAAUGUGUUAGAUUUGCUUUAAAACUUGAUUCUUCUAGUCUGUAUUACAAGUCAAAAUGGUUACAAUCCAUAAAGGAAUAUUUAGACUCUGGUAGUAAUGAUAAUUUAGAACUGCUAUUUUCAUUAGCUGCAGCUAUAUUUCUAAUGGCUCCUGAUGAACCAAAGCACCUCAGUUCAUGCUUAGAAACAAUAGAAUCUGUUCUUUUAAGAAGUCAAUCUUUGUCGACAAGAAUAUUUGCUUUAUUAUUAUAUAAACAAAGUCUUCUGAAAGCACCAGAAUCAAAAAUAUUGAUUUUGGAAUAUUUGCCAAAGUGUGCUACUCAUAAAUAUUCCAUUCCACCUGUGAUAAGUAUUCUUAAAAUGAUGGCAAAUGAGACUGAUUUAAAGGCUCUUGCGAUACAGUUGAUGCUGCAGUUAUGGAAAAAACAAGAUCGAUGCUUUACAUAUCUGCACAAGCAACUAGUAGAACCUUGUAAGGUUAUUUCCAGUGAUACAGGCAUAAAUGAAGUUAAAAUAUCACAAGCAGCAGCUAUCAAAGAAAUUUGUCAGAUGGAGCCUGAGAAGUACGGGAAAGAAUUUCUAGAUACUUUGUCUUCUAUAUUUAAUGAAUCACAUGAUGAAAUUACUUCAGCCGCUGCCUGUUUAGCAUUAGAUGGUGUUAUAAGUCUUUGUAAAUAUGAGGUUAUUGAUCUUCGAUCUACAUGGAAAGCAUUAGCUCCAAGGUUGAUCAAAGAUAAAAGGCCACUGAUAACUUGUAGAAUGUUUCAGUUGCUUGCUUUGGUGCCUGAACUACGAGUGAAAUCCUUUGAAUAUGAUAAUUUUAUGAGCGAAGUGAUGUCUUUUAUUUGGAAGCAGAUAAUUUCUGGACUUACUGAGCCAGUUGCUAUAAGUGCUGCAUACAAAGCUUUAGCAGAAUUUCCUUUAGAUUUUUAUGUUCUGAAACAAUUUCCUCCAGCUGCAAAACAAAAUUUAAAGCUCCCUCCUUCUAUGAAAGCUACACCUUUUGAUAUGGGAAAAUUGCCUGAAGAUGUACUUACAUAUAUUCCUGGUUAUUGCUUCACUGACUUGCUGAAAAGUUUAGAUAAUGAUAUUAUUAUUAAAGGUUACACUCAUUUCUUACACUCCCUUCUAAAACAAGAACUUAGAGACUUGCCUAGAAGUGCUUUCACUCAAAGAAGACAUAUAGUUAAACGAGAAAAUACUUGUGAAGUCUUGUCCAAAGUUCCUGGGUUUUUAUGCAGCCAAAUUGAAUCAAGAAAAUCUCCAGCUAUUCAAAAGAAUCUUUCAGUUGGUCUUCUUUUGUGCUAUGAACCUCCUGUAGAAAUGGGAAAAGAUGGGCAGCCUAUUAAAAGGUCACUAGCUGCUCAGUAUCGUUUUUAUGAGCAAGUUUUAGUCGUUUUACUCGAUGAAGUCAACAUUGAAGCAAGUGAAUGGCAGCGAUGCAUUCUGCUUCCAGCCGCCUGGGGUGGAUACAUGGAGAGAGCAUUUUUUGCUUGCGAAGAAGCUCGUAAAGCAGAACUAGAAUUGCAAAACAGUCACGGACACCUUAAUUUAUCACCAGAUGAACUGAAAAAUCAAUGCAAAUUAGCUUGGCUUUGGGUGCGGGAUCGUCUGAUUUGUUUAAUAAAGACAAGUGCAAAGAAAGGACCAGCAUCUCAUGCCAAUUCAAUGUUUGCUCUCACUGGUUUGAUAUAUGCCACAAAUAAAUUUUAUACAAGCCUCGACGAUAGCAGUAAAGUUUUCUGUGAUGAAAGUCAGAAUUACAUUAAGCAUCAAGAUUUCUUAAUUGAAUAUACAGAAACAGUUCUUUGUGCUAUAUUACCUGACUUUCAACCAAAUGGAAAUGUGCAUAGCUGGCUGUUAACGCAUUUAUCUCGACCAAAUUCUAGUGCUAGCUAUUUAGUGAAAGGUUGUUCCUGUGCCUCACUUUUCCAUUUAAUGCCAGUGUUGAUAAACAAUUAUGUUAAUGAUAUACGACGUAUACUGGAUCAUUUGUUGGAAAAUCUUUCACAUAAUUCUCCAGUACUAGGCUGCUAUUCUGCUAUUGGAUUAGGUUUAUUUAUUCGAUCAAUGUGUGAAAUUGGUUUGGUGGAUAAUACAGAAAAACAGACUGAUUUGCUGUCAAAAACUCUUAAUCAGAUUGUACGAGAUUCAAAUUCAGAAGAAAGUCCUCUUUCAAAUUACCUCAUUGCUCUGACAAUUUCUGUGGCAUCUGUUGCCCAGGCUAUGCAUGAAGAAUUUAAAGCUUUUGUUUCAACUACUUGCAAUGUAUUUUAUGAAAAGCUCAUGGAGGAAGAUCCUUCUUCAAUGAAUUUUGAGAUUUUAAGUAUUUGUGUGUCUGCAAUGAUGGUGAGUGCUUCAGAAGGGAGCUGUUUACCAAUAGAAGAUGUUGAACAUUUAGCAUCUUGGUUCAAUGAUCAACGAUUCGAUUCACCUCAAUGUUCUGGUAUAUCUGUAUCAUGUGGAAUUUUAAUCGAGGCAUUAGAAAGAUUUGGACAUGGAAAAGGAGCUGAAAUGAAGAAAAAGGUUCAAAAGGACUGGUUAAAUACCUUGACAAAUGAGAAAAGGCCAACGCUGCACAGAAUUGCUGCUUUAAAUGGAUUAUGUACUUUGUAUUCUGGUGGGAGAGGUCUUAUGCAGAUAAAAAGUAAAGCCACUGCAGGAAGUCUCACUGCUUUAAAUGAUUUGGUGCCACUCAUGUUUCAAAUUCUGAAUGCUCCCAGAGAUACUGGAUUACAAAAUAUAUGUUCAUGGGAAGUUGGACGAUUAUUUUCAGUAAAUUGUUCACAGCAACAAGUUGAAUCAACAGUUUCAUCCAGUUAUUCUCACCUAAGUGAAAAGAGUAUUUUGAAGCCCGUGCUGAAUAUUAUUCUUGACGGUCACAAAGAUGAUGAAUCGGAUGUUAAAUUUUUUCAUGUAUUAGCUUGUUUAUCAGCUCUGGGUGAUCCAUUUCCAAGACCAUUACCACCAUUGAACUGGGUCACUGUUUUAACACCUUAUCUGCAGAUGAAAAAUGAGGCUGUGCUUGAAGCUGCACUGAAGAUUGCAGUCAACCAAGCUAGUGGUUCACCACAUGCUUUAAAUCUUAUUUCUUCAUAUUGUAAUCCUCCUCUAAUUCAUACAUUGCCAGAAAGCUGUUUUCUUCUGUUACUAAAGAAUCUUCCUGGUUUGGGCCUUGUGUUACCUAGUCCAAAACUUGAAAUAUUUUUACAGUUUGUUAUUUCAUCUACAAUAAAAGAGGAAAAUGGUUUUAAAAAAUGGGGAUUAAUUACUCUUCAGAAUAUUCUGACAGCUCUAGAGGAAAAAGGAUAUAAGCAAAGGUCACUGAGCAUUGUGCAAGAUGCAUUUAUUUCUGUUUUUAAAUAUUUUAGAAAUGACUAUGCCAAGGUUAUAGAGCAUCUGUCAUGGAUUACACAGGGACUUCUUCUCUUGCCUAAAGAUGGCAUGGAUACUGUAAUAUCAGUUUCUGAAAAUGUGAGUGAUAUUUCAGUUUUGACAAUGAUUUGGUGCAAUUUAGUGAAAUGUGGCAAAGUGCAGCUUACGUGUCUCAGACCAUGUAUUGAAGAAGGAAAGCAUGCUUCUCCUGAGGAUAAAGCUCUCAUUUACAUUUCUGUUUACAAAUGUUUUCUUUCUGGCAUUCUAAAUAAGGAAAGUGAAGUAAGCCAAGCUACAAAAUGUAUAUCUUGGCUUCUAGAAACUAUUGGGUGGAUCAAAGUCCUUUGCGAUUCAAAAUCUAAAUACCAGUUGAUGACAAUGAAAGAACUACAAUUAUUGGCUGUUCAGGAUUAGAAUGCAGUUAUAGUUUUUUUCCAAUACAAAAUAUAAGUCACCAACUACUACUUGAAAAGCUCCCAACUGCAGUUAAGAAACUCACUACCACAGAAGAAUGGAAUAAAAUUGCUGAUAAAAUAAUUGACUGGCUACUUUUAUUAAUAAAAAGUGAAUAUCUUAGUGAAAUAGAAAAGUACCAUAUCAAGCUGAGUCUAUGUUCAAUGAAAGGACUUCAAGAAUUUCAGAAGACAGAAGUGUGGACUGAAAUUAUAUGUA
rnacentral:misc_RNA from 1 species